rnacentral:lncRNA from 1 species
GGGCGUGACAAAAAUAAAAUGAAGGUAAAUCAAGCUGAUAGUAUGUUGAUGUGAUCUUUUGAUUUUCUUUAAAAAUUUAUGAGUACUAUAUAAAAUUAUUUAAGAUUAUAAAUAAAAUUUAAAUAUUCAGAUAUAAAUUAUAUAAUUAUUUAUCUAUAUUCAUAUUAAUGAAUAUUAAUUUAAUUCUCAAAUUUUUAUAUAGUAGAUUUGAAUAUAAAAAUAGAUCCGAACAAAUACUA